UGUAAGCGUAUACCAAAGUUGUUGCAGUUAAAACGCUCGUAGUCGGAAUUUGGCAGUUCCGGAUGUGUGCACGUCGUGUGCGCACUUCGCGGGGAUUGCUUUUGUGGUCUUGCGUAGGAUGAGGCACUUUUAUUAGUGAACGUCCUCACGCAACCACUUUUUACUGUGAGAAAAUCAGAGUGCUCAAAGCAGGCAUUUGCCGUGAAUGUAUCAGCAUGGAAUAAUAGAAUAGGACUUGGUUCUAUUUUGUUGGUUUGUCGGGACUGAGUAAUGAUUAAGAGGGACAGUUGGGGGCAUUUGUAUUUCGGUGCUAGAGGUGAAAUUCUUAGAUUACCGAAAGACAAACUGCUGCGAAAGCGUCUGCCAAGGAUGUUUUCAUUGA
rnacentral:rRNA from 1 species